AGGGAAACCGAGUCUUAACUGGGCGUUAAGUUGCAGGGUAUAGACCCGAAACCCGGUGAUCUAGCCAUGGGCAGGUUGAAGGUUGGGUAACACUAACUGGAGGACCGAACCGACUAAUGUUGAAAAAUUAGCGGAUGACUUGUGGCUGGGGGUGAAAGGCCAAUCAAACCGGGAGAUAGCUGGUUCUCCCCGAAAGCUAUUUAGGUAGCGCCUCGUGAACUCAUCUUCGGGGGUAGAGCACUGUUUCGGCUAGGGGGUCAUCCCGACUUACCAACCCGAUGCAAACUGCGAAUACCGAAGAAUGUUAUCACGGGAGACACACGGCGGGUGCUAACGUCCGUCGUGAAGAGGGAAACAACCCAGACCGCCAGCUAAGGUCCCAAAGUCACAGUUAAGUGGGAAACGAUGUGGGAAGGCUCAGACAGCCAGGAUGUUGGCUUAGAAGCAGCCAUCAUUUAAAGAAAGCGUAAUAGCUCACUGGUCGAGUCGGCCUGCGCGGAAGAUGUAACGGGGCUAAACUGUGCACCGAAGCUGCGGCAGCGACGCUUAUGCGUUGUUGGGUAGGGGAGCGUUCUGUAAGCCUGCGAAGGUGUCCUGUGAGGGAUGCUGGAGGUAUCAGAAGUGCGAAUGCUGACAUAAGUAACGAUAAUGCGGGUGAAAAGCCCGCUCGCCGGAAGACCAAGGGUUCCUGUCCAACGUUAAUCGGGGCAGGGUGAGUCGACCCCUAAGGCGAGGCCGAAAGGCGUAGUCGAUGGGAAACGGGUUAAUAUUCCCGUACUUGGUGUUACUGCGAAGGGGGGACGGAGAAGGCUAUGUUGGCCGGGCGACGGUUGUCCCGGUUUAAGCGUGUAGGCUGGUUUUCCAGGCAAAUCCGGAAAAUCAAGGCUGAGGCGUGAUGACGAGGCACUACGG
rnacentral:rRNA from 1 species